GGGUAAAUCCUGGGAAUGUAGGAGAAGUUCCAGUUUUUUUCCACGUCUCUUCUGAUUGGGGACUGAGAAGUCCUGAGAGGAGGACCCGUAACUGUAACUCUCUCGCUGCCCUCCACAACAUCUGCCGGGAAGGUGAACAUCAUAUCUCUGGAAACGUUCCAGUAUGGAGGAGAAAGCUCCAACAGCACCGCGGUGUGAUGCAUCUGCUCGAGUCCUUCGGCCUGCAGAAUCAACAGCCCGAGAAAUAUGGAAACACAACACACAAACAAACCCGCACCUUGACGAGUAUGGUCCGUCGUACAAGGUCGGAUGCCACAGAUGACACGGCUUUCACAGAGAUGGGGAUCUCUCCGAGGACUAGUGCCUUGAUGGGAAUGAGGACGGAC